rnacentral:rRNA from 1 species
GACGGGGGGUCCUAGCGUUGUUCGGAAUUAUUGGGCGUAAAGCGUGUGCAGGUGGUUUGGAAAGUUGGAUGUGAAAGCCCCGGGCUUAACUCGGGAAGUGCAUUCAAAACUCCCAAACUUGAGUAUGGAAGAGGGUCGUGGAAUUCCUGGUGUAGUGGUGAAAUACGUAGAUAUCAGGAGGAACACCGGCGGCGAAGGCGGCGACCUGGUCCUAUACUGACACUCAUACACGAAAGCGUGGGGAUCAAACAGG